rnacentral:rRNA from 1 species
UACGUAGGGUGCGAGCGUUAAUCGGAAUUACUGGGCGUAAAGCGUGCGCAGGCGGUGAUGUAAGACAGGUGUGAAAUCCCCGGGCUUAACCUGGGAACUGCAUUUGUGACUGCAUCGCUGGAGUGCGGCAGAGGGGGGAUGGAAUUCCGCGUGUAGCAGUGAAAUGCGUAGAUAUGCGGAGGAACACCGAUGGCGAAGGCAAUCCCCUGGGCCUGCACUGACGUCAUGCACGAAAGCGUGGGGAGCAAACAGG